AUUAUCGUGAUCUAACGGGGGUUUUCGCAUGGAAAGCUUUGACGAAGGUCGUUACAGGUGAAACACGUGUCGUGUUGAGGUUAGUAUAUAUUCGUUUUCGUUUAUGUUGAAUGUUGCAUGGACGACUGUUUUCGUGUUAGUUUUGAUGUGGUCAUGUGGUCCCCCAUGUUUGAAGUUCUGUUGGAGUGUAUUUUUGAAGCAUGUUCUGUCGGAGUGUGGUCCCCCCU
rnacentral:lncRNA from 1 species